UGCGUAGGUGGCGCCGUAAGUCGGGUGUGAAAUUUCGGAGCUUAACUCCGAAACUGCAUUCGAUACUGCGGUGCUUGAGGACUGGAGAGGAGACUGGAAUUCAUGGUGUAGCAGUGAAAUGCGUAGAGAUCAUGAGGAAGACCAGUGGCGAAGGCGGGUCUCUGGACAGUUCCAGACACUGAGGCAGAAGCCAGGGAGCAAACG
rnacentral:rRNA from 1 species